rnacentral:tRNA from 1 species
GGGUAUAGAGCUCAGUGGCAGAGCACUGUGCUUAGCAUGCACAAGGUCCUGGGUUCAAUUCCCAGUACCUCCA